CUAGGUGUAAAGAAGGGUUUGUGUCGUUUUUCACUUUUCACUUUCCCUUUUUCACACCUUUCC
rnacentral:pre_miRNA from 1 species